GAUCAGACCACGCAGUGAGAGACAGACACACAAGGCAGCCAUCUGGGUUCCUAACAGUUCUCUGGUUCCCAGUUCCAUCCCAUCUGAUGCCUAAUGCCAUUUCCCACUUUGGAAUAUCAUGAGAUGACUGUGUAUUCGUCUACUCUACCUCAGAAGACAGCCAAGACUCUCUGUAGACUGUCCAUGGCUUCUGCUGCUGGGAUGCACUACCUUCAAUCUUUCCUCCCACUGGUUCUAUGGCUGCUGAACUAGGAACUCUUUGAGAACAGUGACAUCUCCUAUACCUCUCGUACAUACCUCCACCACUGCAUGUAUCACCCUGACCUAGUUUCGCUGUGGUCACCCAGGCUGGAGUGCGAUGGCGC